CGGCGGACGGGUGAGUAACACGUGGAUAACUUACCUAUAAGACUGGGAUAACUUCGGGAAACCGGAGCUAAUACCGGAUAAUAUAUUGAACCGCAUGGUUCAAUAGUGAAAGACGGUUUUGCUGUCACUUAUAGAUGGAUCCGCGCCGCAUUAGCUAGUUGGUAAGGUAACGGCUUACCAAGGCAACGAUGCGUAGCCGACCUGAGAGGGUGAUCGGCCACACUGGAACUGAGACACGGUCCAG
rnacentral:rRNA from 1 species